rnacentral:lncRNA from 1 species
GUGAGGCGUGGGGUCCUCCUCCACUCCAACUGUGUGGGGAAACCUGGGUAGAACUUAAAGUUACAAAAGUCAUUGUGCAAGCCCUGCUGUCCCCACAAGGGCUUAUAGGAAGGGGUUCGGAGCUUUUCAAGGAGGCAGGGGAAAAUUAAACUCGUGUCUCUUAAUGUGUAUUUGGUGGGAGGGGAAUGCUGCCUGAAAUAAUGCAUUGCUUCGGCGGCGGUCAGAGAUCCAUGUGACGCGGGGGCACUUUAGGGACCAUUGCUGAGGGCCUGGUUAGCAUUUGGGCAGCUGAAUCCUUCCCUUGGCGAACUCCAUACGUGCCCUCGGCGACACACAGAGGACUCCCAGAGUUGAAGAAGGGGGUGGAUGUGUGUGUGCGCACUCGCCCACGUCUCGUGUUUUACUUUUCAUUUAAGUCGUAAUAAGGAGAAAUUCGAUGACCAGCAAGGCUGGAGUCCCAUCGUCUUGUUGGGGGAGAGGGGGGAGAAGAAAAAGGUGCCUGUAACUUCAGACUGUCCAAGAUAUCGCUUAGCUCCUGCGCCCGGAAGAAAAUCCAGCGCAGGUCGGGUUCCGGCGCGCGGAAGCCCUGCGAACCCCAAAUGUGUGCGCUGAGCCGAGGCCUCUAAGCGAGCCUCCCAGAGCUGUCGAAAUCUCCGCGGGGUGAAAGCUAAACUUUUGGAGUCGCUGUGUAGCCGGGUAGAGGACACGGCGGCGCGAGCCGGAAAGGCAGGUUUAAUUCGGAAAGAAGAGACUGCAGAGGAGAGGGAAGACCGUGAGUCUGCUUUCACCUAGGUUUAAAGCGAAUCAAAGACGGCUGUAAAAAGGGAAACCGGGACCAAAAACAGAUUUGGAGCCUCGAAACUCUCCAUUGAAGGUUUGGAAGAUACGUUGCUGCAGACUUGAAACCGGCUCCAAAUCCGGCCCAAACAUGGGCUGAAAAUAUGGCGCGCUAAUCUGCUGCUUCCCCUCCUCCUCAAGUUCUUUCUGACUCUUCCCACCUUUCCCAGUUUCCCUUCCAGACGUCUGCGGCUCCCCACUCCACCCCCAGGAUAGCUACUCUACAUCCCGACAAUUCCCAGCUUCUACACCCAGGAGGAGGAAUUCUGGAACCACCCAGAGCGAACUCGUGCCGGGGCGGGGUGGGGACCGGAGGAAGGUCCUGCUCCGAAUUCUCUCCAGAGCAGAAAAGAAUUCUAGAGGCUACAUGUGGGCUGCUUUCCCCCCUUCUUCCUUUUUUCCCUCGCAAACCAACAACCAAAAAGUGUUUGGUGAUGGAAAGAACACCAGUGGAAAACGGCAAAUAACAGUAUUUCCAACUCCGAGUCAGGUCCUCUUUGCACUGCUUUUUCCUGUUUCAUUGCAAUUUAUUGAUUUUAUUGUGGUUUUUUGUUUAUUUGGGGCAAGAACGGAGAUGUGAACCAGGACGAGCCAGCAGACCCCCGAGCCAGUAUCUCCUCCCUGGGCAGGGAACACCGCCUGCACCGGUGCAUACUAGGAGACCCUGGCGGAGAAUGUAAACAAACCGGGCGCCGAGCCCUUGAUCUUUAUUUAAAUAGAGGCUUGUUUAUCGGUGUCAUCCUAGGAGGAUUAAUUAGAUACAUCUCUUCACAAUUUGGUGUCUGACACUCCAUCUUAGGAAUGCCUUAUCAUAAGGUGUUAAUUGGGGCCACUCAGCCACUUACGUUUCUAUUAAACACUGUGAGGGACUUUUCACAAGUACCAGGUUCUUUUUUACUGUACGAUGCAAAAACAUACAGGACCCGAAAUAGACUAGGGCCAGAAUCUGCUAUAUCCCGGCAGUGAUUAGCACUUUGGGGCUUUCUAGAGGGCAGAAAUAGGAGAGCACUGUUUUCGAAAUUCCAUCGCAUCUCCCAAUAUUCGGUGGUUGGAUGCAGAUGUAAGGGGGCUGUUGGGGGUGUGGGGAAGGCGCUGACCAGGAUAGGGGGGCUAUGAGUCUCCCUUCCGGAAUCUAAAUCAGUCAUCCACAGUACAUAUAUCUUAAAAAGCACAUCUUCAACGCUUUUGUCCUUGGCUCCCCGGUAAAGUUCGGGGCGCCUUUGCCAAAGUGUUUUGAGUAGGCCGUUCGGAAACGCGGAGCAGGAGUUCGAGCCCCCAAGGUCACGGGUGGCGCGGGAAGAACUCGGGCCCCAGAGGGACGGAGGGGAAGGGAGACAGGACAGUCGAGGUACAAGGUCCUGGCGGCCUUAAUUGGGCGCAGAAGGGGAGGAGGUCUCGGCUGAUUGCUCGCCUCCCAGCAGCUAAUCCUCUUAGCAGCUGCAUUUCCGCGCUACACAGUUAGCAGAAUGAUCCUCCCAGCUAGACCUUUACCCCGG